UGGGUGGAACCGUGGCCGCCGCACCUCGUCGCCGCCAACGCCGAAAAGUCAAGAACGGAGCAGCAGAGCAGCGACCUCGCAGCAACAGGAGCCUAUUGCAGUAUAUAGACGACGAGUUACGCUUGAGAGCGACGCUCCCCAUGGGGCUUGGCGGGGACGACAAGCGCCCCCCCAGCACAAGUCCCCCCCACGGGGGGCUCACGAGUGGCCCGCCCCCCACACGUCGCCACUCAAGUGGGGGGGAGGACCUGGCCACUCUCACGGCCACUCUAACCCUGGAGGGGGAGAUGGGGGGACGGCAGAGGACGGCGAGUGGCAGCAGCACUCUGCAGUACA
rnacentral:lncRNA from 1 species